rnacentral:rRNA from 1 species
UGAGGAAUCUUGCGCAAUGGGGGAAACCCUGACGCAGCAACGCCGCGUGAGUGAGGAAGGCCUUCGGGUCGUAAAGCUCUGUCAGAUGGGAAGAAAUGGGUGGGGGCUAAUAUCGUCCAUCCUUGACGGUACCACCAGAGGAAGCACCGGCUAACUCCGUGCCAGCAGCCGCGGUAAUACGGGGGGUGCAAGCGUUGUUCGGAAUCAUUGGGCGUAAAGCGCGCGCAGGCGGCUUGGUCAGUCAGAUGUGAAAGCCCUGGGCUUAACCCAGGAAGUGCAUUUGAUACUGCCUCGCUAGAGUACGGGAGAGGAAAGUGGAAUUCCUGGUGUAGAGGUGAAAUUCGUAGAUAUCAGGAGGAACACCGGUGGCGAAGGCGACUUUCUGGCCCGAUACUGACGCUCAGGCGCGAAAGCGUGGGGAGCAAACAG